UAAUAAAGGAAAAAAAGUCGAAAAUUGUUUGGUCGAGACUCCUGCCUUAAAUGGAUCGAAUCUGCUGACCGAUUCAUUAAUCGCGCAAUCUGAUGUUGAUGUUGCUCAAUCCAGCCCACAUCGUAAUUCCGUUGAUGAUACUGUAAAGGAUCCAUCGGAAC